ACACGAGUGCUUACGAGUAAGAUUUGCUUCUGUAAAAAAAAUCAAAAUUUAUUAGAUGUCAUUUUACAUCGAGAUUGUUUGAUAUUGGAAAGUGAAGCUAGCAAUUAUAAUUUGCUGCACGUCUACACUUUACCUGGGUAAACAAUUGAUGAGGAUUCUACUAACUUGCUUUCAGAUGCACUGUCUUCAAGCUGUGUUUUCUUUCAUAUGGAAGCUUGAUAACGGAGGCAUCCGGACAUGAGGUGGUCCACAUCUUUCUAGGAAAUGGUACUAAACCAUCCUCUAAAAUGAAUGGAUCCACACAUUACCAUCAUUAAAGUGAUAUUAUAUGCACGCACUGCACUAUUGCAAUCUAAAGGGGAUAUGCAUGUAACUCCAAUGUAUUACAUAAAAUGUCAGGAAGUGACAUAAGACUACAUUUUGAUGUAUCCCCAAAUGGUAAAACUAGGUUUUUACUGGGAUGAUACAUAUUCACAAUGCAAAGUUUACAGAUGUUUAUCUUGAAUGCCAUCUAACAGUCUGUUACACUAGUCCGGGCUACAAUAAAGUUUUUUGCCAUGUGUGCCAAAUGUUGGAGAAAGGAAGUAUGAUCGUUUCAGAUAAACGUGGCACAAAACUGAGGAUACAAUCUGGGAAAAUGCGCUACUGACCGACAGUAUGAGAUCUUCUGCAAUGCUUGCAGUAAGUAAAUAAAACUGAAAAUAUAUGUUGCAAAGCUAGUCAAAAUUAAGUAAAUAUGGGCUGGGGUUGUUUUUUUUUAACAUUACACGUGUCUAAUGCUCUAUUUUGAUAGUCAUUUUUUAAUUUCCCCUACUUUAGCAAUGUCUUUGGUAACACAUUUUAAGGAAGAAAAAAACCAGGAAAAAAUGUAAAUACCUUCUUAUGCAUACAUUCUCUCAUACAAUGAAAACUUAAGUCUUGUAUCCGACAAAGUGUCAAUGACCAACAUCUUUGUUCAGUUUUAUUGAAACUUAUUGUGGAACUGCAUAAUCAUCUUGUGGUAAUCCUGCAAUUACUGGCUUAACAUGAACAUACUUUCACAGAUGUUAAAAAACUUGUCAACGUCAUGCUUUGCUGAAGGAAAGGAGGUGCCCCAGUCAAAAUAGACACUUGUGAAACAAUCACACAUCAAAUACACCAGUGGCCUUAUACCAAUGUAUAUACCUUGUUACUACAUUUGGCAUAACCUACACAAGCACGCAGUUCACAACUUUUUUCACAACAUCCUAAAAUCAAAUAAAUAAUUUCAUUAAUUCGGCAAACAAAAACCACAGAUUAACAACGUGACAAUGCUGACUUAAAAAAGGGGUAUGCAUAGCAUGCACGUAGCAUCACUGUUAUCUAGAUAUUCAAGCAGGGAGGAAGAAAGAACAGCAGAAGGGCACCUCCUUGCCACAGCAAUCCAACCCCACAGCCAUGCAACUUGUGCUUCAGUUCUAGCUCACAACUACCCUGCACAGAUGAUACAAACAGGAUGUGACACUCUUGUACUUCCUUUGGGAAAGUCAAUCACCUACCAGAGACAGAGUACAUAAUAUAGAGAGCUUUAAGUGGCUCAGACUCAUUUAAUGACUGCAGUUGUUGGCAUCAAAAUCUUUAGCUAUGGCCCUUAAGAUACCAAAAAAAUUCAGUAUCAGGCAUCAUAAUUUACUUAUAGUCAGAAAUCCCAACCAACUACAAUUGUUUGAAAUGUGGCAAGAUGCAAAUGCCUCAUUUUAAUUUUCAAGAAUCGUAAUAAAAGAAAAAAAAUAUAUGUGUAACAUCUGAGAAAAGAAACAAGCAGCUCAGCACUAUCCCACACACGAGACUAAGCGAACAAGUCCAAGUAAAUACUACUACAGUUGAUAACACUUAUAUAACAUUAUUGCUUAAAUCACGUCCCAUUUUUCUCUACCCUUAUAAGGCUGGUCAGAAUUUCUGAUUAACAAGCUAUGCACUGCCAUCAACUCUCCAUCUUAUGUACUCUUGUAUAUCAAAGCUGUCGCUGUUAAGAAGUCAUCACCAACAGGACUACAUAAAGGUUUUUUUUUUUUACUCUGAACCUAUCAUAUAUUUAUACAUGUAUACAUAAUGUAAUUUACAAAAAGAAAAAAAAAAGUUAAAAAAAGUGUCAGGAGCAGAUCAAGACUUCACUGUAGUGAUCUGCUGCUGAUGUAGAUAAAACCCACCCCUGCCACUCCACUGCCAACCUGGCUACCUGUUGGCACAGAACAGUCAUAACAUGCACCCACGAUUCUUGGACGUGCACAUUAUCACAAGUGAAUGAGGGUAUCUGCCCCUGGCCAGCAAGAUGCAUGGUGAAAUGUAUGGUGUUUGUGAUGGUGUUGUGGAUCUGUACAGUUUGAUGGUACACGCUGCAUGAGCUUUGAUGACUGGAAAACAAAAUGUCACACAGAAUACCUCAUAAAAGUUAUUCUUCAUAUUCACAGUAAUGGAAACGGAAAAACUUCAUGUUUAUUAAAUGAGCUCUGCACUGCUCACCAUGAUAAAAUGUUUUUUCAUAAUAAAUAUUGUUUAUAAUCAUGGGGAUGGGUGGGGGAGAAAAGAGGGGAUAAGUAUGAAAAAGUAUUUCACUUAUUUCAUCUACUAUUAAAAAGACCCCCAGUAGAACAACAAAGAAAAAAAAUGUUAACAAUGUCAAAAUAAUAUAGGUGGGGGCGGGGGGGGGGAGGGAGUGAAGAA